UUAGUGGCGGACGGGUGAGUAACGCGUGGAAAACCUGCCGUAUACUGGGGGAUAACACUUAGAAAUAGGUGCUAAUACCGCAUAAGCGCACAGCUUCGCAUGAAGCGGUGUGAAAAACUCUGGUGGUAUACGAUGGUUCCGCGUCUGAUUAGCUAGUUGGAGGGGUAAUGGCCUACCAAGGCAACGAUCAGUAGCCGGCCUGAGAGGGUGAACGGCCACAUUGGGACUGAGACACGGCCCAAACUCCUACGGAAGGCAGCAG
rnacentral:rRNA from 1 species